rnacentral:rRNA from 1 species
AUUGAACGCUGGCGGCAGGCCUAACACAUGCAAGUCGAACGAGCGGCGGACGGGUGAGUAAUGUCUGGGAAACUGCCUGAUGGAGGGGGAUAACUACUGGAAACGGUUGCUAAUCCCGCAUACCAUCAGAUGUGCCCAGAUGGGAUGGGCUUGUUGGUGGGGUAACGGCUCACCAAGGCGACGAUCCCUAGCUGGUCUGAGAGGAUGCACAGCCACACUGGAACUGAGACACGGGCCAGACGCCUACGGGAGGCAGCAGUGGGGAAUAGUGCACAAUGGGCGCAAUCCUGAUGCAGCCAUGCCGCGUGUAUGAAGAAGGCCUUCGGGUUGUAAAGUACUUUUGUUAGGGAAGCGGUACCUAAAGAAUAAGCACCGGCUAACUACGUGCCAGCCGCCGCGGUAAUAC